AUGGAACUACAGUUUCAAAUACAAGAAAUUACCGAGCGAAGUGGCGCAGCACACUAGACUCCCGUUGGGGAAGACGCGUCCGGACAUCCCGAUUUAGGUUUUCCGUGAUUUCCCGUAAUCGCUUCAGGUAAAUGCCGGCAUGGUUCCUUUGAAAGGGCACGGUGAUUCCCUUUCCCAUCCGUCCCUAGUCCGAUGGGACCCAUGAACUAAGCCGCUCGGCCCACUUCCCCGAACCAACCAACAAGUAAAUAGCAGAAAUGUGACGAUGCUGGCUCGGCCAGUUCGUGAUGGUGCUGGUUCGGCCAGUUCGUGAUGGCAGCAGGUCCUUGGCGCCUCAGUGACAGCGGCGGGCGACGGAGGGCGGUGCGGCGGCGUCCAGCUCACAUGGCUGACUAGUGUGGGCUGCCUCGCUGCAGCGCACGCCCUGUGCGUGUUUAGUGCAGCAGCCAUGGCCCGCGUGGAGCAAAAGUGGCAGCCGGUUGGUGCAUUUCAAGGGCAAAGUGUACGGCGUCUUGCCGGGAAAAAUGUAGUGUAGCGGCAAAGUCACUACGGGAACGGAUCCGCACUUCUGACACCAGUAGUACAGAAUGGGUGUAUGGGCAGGCAGUGGGCGUAAUGGAACAUUUAGGAUUAUUUUUAGAUAAAGGCCAUUUAUUGGUGAAAUCGUGUUGAAAAGGGUUACAUAGGCCUAGGGAGGUGAGGGUGAGCCAGAGCUUAGAGUUUGGCGAAACAUAGUUCGCGAAGCUACCGAAAGUUGUUGUCUGCCAAAACUAAGUCCACAGUGCCACAGCACCAGGAGAAGUGGGAGAUGUUCAAUGCUACAGGGUGCGCAUCCGACUCAAGGGUGAGCAAGAAUACAAGAGAGUGGGCCCGACGACUGGCGGCCGGGUAUAUUCGACACACCACACGGCUUCCUCCGCCCUGAUUGGUCAGGACCGAGCAAACCGUGCGGGCGGCAUGGAACUUUCCAGAGCAUUGCCUGCUACGCAACGCCUGGGGCGGCGUUAAGACAUAUUAUCAGAAAGAAACAUAAAGAAUAGCAAUACAAUAGUUUGCACAUCAUAACAGACAUAAAAAGGCUUUGACAUUACACAAAUUACAUUUAUCAAGUGUAAUAAUUAGCCUAUGAAAUUUUAACAUUUUUGUGAAAAUUUUAUUUCUCACAUAUUCAUGGCCGAAAAAUAUAUGACCAUUGUUGAUAGUGAUAUCGAAAAUGCAAUCAGCCAAGAUGGCGUAGAAGUGCGUGAUUGAACAAUUGGAGCUCAGGUGCCAUGCAUGCCUAUUCCAGAAAGUUUAAGUACCGGUACAUCAGAGAUUAGUGUCGCAGGUGUGACAAAUGACAGCCUCGCUCCACAGCAGAAUAACCUUGAAAAUACAAUGCUUACAAUUCCCGAGACAAUGUCAUGCAUCUCCCAGAGCGACAUACCACUUAUGAAUGAGCGAUUUCAAUAUGAAUUUUGACAACAAGUUACGAACACCACUUGUUCACAACACAAAUAUUCACUUAGAAGGUACAGCUGGCGGCAAUCAUAGUAGUACAACUGAAGCACUACUAUGGCAGUUACUAUCUAAAAUAAAAAUAAAUUUGACAAUAUGAACACGAAUCUCAGUGAUAUGAAACAGAAUUGAACACCAAUUUCAGUGUUGUGAAAGAAAAUAUGAAUACCAAAAUUGAUAAUUUGACACACAAUAUGAACACCGUCACACCAGAUCUAAAUGUUAUGAAACAAGAACAAAAACAAGUAUUCAAGGAUUUGCAAGGUAUGAUCUCACAGGAAGUCAAUGACUUAGCCAAAGAUUUUUGCACUGAAAUUCAUAACAAAUCGAAUAUUAUGAAAAACAGGUAAAGCAUGAAGUACUUUAUGAAGUAACAGUAACAUUACGGAGUUAAAACAGAAGGUAGAGUCUUUUAACGACAAUGAUGAUCAAGUAGAGCAACAAAUAAGGAAAAAUCACAGACACGAACAAAAACACUGAAGCCACACAAAAUCAUAUGGUUUUGCCAGUAAAAAAGGUAACCAGCAUCAUUAAGAAAAUAAACAGAGACUAUGAUGAUGUACCUCUAACUGUAGAAGAGCUUAAUUUAAGGAUAGCAACAUUAGAAGUUGACUCAGCAUGUGCUGAGGAGAGAGAGAGAGAGAGAGAGAGAGAGAGAGAGAGAGAGACAGAGAGAGAGAGAGA